CGCUACUACCGAUUGAAUGGCUCAGUGAGGCGUCCGGACUGGCCCAGAGUGGUGGGCAACUACCGCUCAGGGCCGGAAAGCUCUCCAAACUCGGUCAUUUAGAGGAAGUAAAAGUCGUAACAAGGUCUCCGUAGGUGAACCUGCGGAGGGAUCAUUACCGAGUUUACAACUCCCAAACCCCUGUGAACAUACCUUAUGUUGCCUCGGCGGAUCAGCCCGCGCCCCGUAAAAAGGGACGGCCCGCCGCAGGAACCCUAAACUCUGUUUUUAGUGGAACUUCUGAGUAUAAAAAACAAAUAAAUCAAAACUUUCAACAACGGAUCUCUUGGUUCUGGCAUCGAUGAAGAACGCAGCAAAAUGCGAUAAGUAAUGUGAAUUGCAGAAUUCAGUGAAUCAUCGAAUCUUUGAACGCACAUUGCGCCCGCCAGUAUUCUGGCGGGCAUGCCUGUUCGAGCGUCAUUUCAACCCUCAAGCCCAGCUUGGUGUUGGGAGCUGCAGUCCUGCUGCACUCCCCAAAUACAUUGGCGGUCACGUCGAGCUUCCAUAGCGUAGUAAUUUACACAUCGUUACUGGUAAUCGUCGCGGCCACGCCGUUAAACCCCAACUUCUGAAUGUUGACCUCGGAUCAGGUAGGAAU
rnacentral:rRNA from 1 species